UACGUAGGGGGCAAGCGUUGUCCGGAUUUAUUGGGCGUAAAGAGCUCGUAGGCGGCUCCGUAAGUCGGGUGUGAAACCUCCAGGCUCAACCUGGAGACGCCACCUGAUACUGCUGUUGCUGGAGUCCGGUAGGGGAGCGUGGAAUUCCUGGUGUAGCGGUGAAAUGCGCAGAUAUCAGGAGGAACACCAGCGGCGAAGGCGGCGCUCUGGGCCGGUACUGACGCUGAGGAGCGAAAGCGUGGGUAGCAAACAGG
rnacentral:rRNA from 1 species